rnacentral:rRNA from 1 species
UACGGAGGGAGCAAGCGUUACUCGGAAUUAUUGGGCGUAAAGGGCGCGUAGGCGAUUGAGAUAGUCUCCUGUGAAAGCCCCCGGCUUAACCGGGGAAGUACAGAAGAUACUUCUCAAUUUGAGUUCCGGAGAGGAAGGCAGAAUUCCCGGUGUAGCGGUGAAAUGCGUAGAGAUCGGGAGGAAUACCAGUGGCGAAGGCGGCCUUCUGGACGGAUACUGACGCUGAGGCGCGAAAGCCAGGGAGCAAAGCGGG